UGGGGAAUUUUGGGCAAUGGGCGCAAGCCUGAUCCAGCAAUGCCGCGUGCAGGAUGAAGGCCUUCGGGUUGUAAACCGCUUUUGUCAGGGAAGAAACGAGUUACUCUAAUACAGAGACUUAAUGACGGUACCUGAAGAAUAAGCACCGGCUAACUACGUGCCAGCAGCCGCGGUAAUACGUAGGGUGCGAGCGUUAAUCGGAAUUACUGGGCGUAAAGCGUGCGCAGGCGGUUAUAUAAGACAGAUGUGAAAUCCCCGGGCUCAACCUGGGACCUGCAUUUGUGACUGUAUAGCUAGAGUACGGUAGAGGGGGAUGGAAUUCCGCGUGUAGCAGUGACAUGCGUAGAUAUGCGGAGGAACACCGAUGGCGAAGGCAAUCCCCUGGACCUGUACUGACGCUCAUGCACGAAAGCGUGGGGAGCAAACA
rnacentral:rRNA from 1 species